rnacentral:rRNA from 1 species
UGAAGUAAGUAAGGGCGUACGGUGAAUGCCUUGGUGCCAACAGGCGAAGAAGGACGCGGCAAGCUGCGAAAAGCCUCGGGAAGCUGCAAGCAAGCGAUGAUCCGGGGAUAUCCGAAUGGGGUAACCUGAUCGAGGCAAUACUCGAUCGUUCAUACCUGAAUACAUAGGGUAUGAAACGCGAAACCCGCUGAAGUGAAACAUCUCAGUAAGCGGAGGAAAAGAAAGAGAAAUCGAUUCCGUAAGUAGUGGCGAGCGAAAGCGGAUGGAGCCCAAACCGAAGGUAUUCCUUCGGGGUUGUAGGACCACGUCAUAUUCGACCAUACUGGAUAGUAGAACAGCCUGGAAAGGCUGGCCGGAGAAGGUGAAAGCCCUGUAGACGAAAUCCAGAGUGGGAAUUAGUGGUAUCCUGAGUAAUACAUCACACGUGGAACGAUGUAUGAACCCGCGCGGACCACCGCGCAAGGCUAAAUACUAGUUGGCGACCGAUAGUGAACAAGUACCGCGAGGGAAAGGUGAAAAGAACCGCUGUGAGCGGAGUGAAAUAGAACCUGAAACCGUAUGUCUACAAAGUGUCAGAGCAGAGCAAUCUGCGAUGGCGUGCCUUUUGUUUAAUGAGUCUGCGAGUCAGUGUUUGUGGCAAGACUAAGGGCUUCCGGCCCGGAGUCGCAGCGAAAGCAAGUCCGAACAGGGCGCAAUAAGUCGCAGGUACUGGACCCGAAGCGGAGGUGACCUACCCUUGGCCAGGUUGAAGCAUGGGUAAAACCAUGUGGAGGACCGAACAGGUGAACGUUGAAAAGUUCUCUGAUGAGCUGAGGGUAGGAGUGAAAGGCUAAUCAAACCCCGUGAUAGCUGGUUCUCUUCGAAAUGCAUUUAGGUGCAGCGUCACGUGCUGAUGCGCGGGGGUAGAGCACUGACAAGGCUAGGGGGCACACCCGCUUACCAAACCUUAUCAAACUCCGAAUACCGUGCAAUGGAACGUGGCAGUGAGACAGUGGGGGAUAAGCUUCAUUGUCGAGAGGGAAACAACCCAGACCAGCAGCUAAGGUGCCUAAAUAACGCUCAGUGGAAAGGAUGUGGGAUUACACAGACAGUGAGGAUGUUGGCUUAGAAGCAGCCACCAUUUAAAAAAUGCGUAAUAGCUUACUCAUCGAGUGAUCCUGCGCCGAAAAUGAUUGGCGAUCAAGCGUUAUACCGAAGCUCUGGACUUUGCCGCAAGGCAGAGUGGUAGAAGAGCGUUGCAUGCGCGUCGAAGGGCGAUGGCGACUGACCCUGGAGCACAUGCAAGUGAGUAUGCAGACAUGAGUAACGUUAAGCCGGGUGAAAUCCCUGGCCGCCGUAAACCCGAGGUUUCCAGGGCAACGUGUUUCGUCCCUGGGUUAGCCGGGACCUAAGCCGAGGCCGAGAGGCGUAGGCGAUGGACAUCAGGUUAAUAAUCCUGAGCUCGCAACCCUUAAACUGGGGGGACGCAUGAGAAAAGAUGACUAGGUUAUUGAAUUCCGAGUUGAGUCCACGGACUCAGCGCAUCAUUGGAUCGAGUGCCAAGAAAAGCCCCAGCGUAUGCUAAGCGACCCGUACCGCAAACCGACACAGGUGGGUGGGUAGAAUAUACCAAGGCGUAAGAGUGAAACCUGGUUAAGGAACUCGGCAAAUUAGCCCCGUAACUUCGGAAGAAGGGGUGCCUGCAGCGAUGCAGGCCGCAGAGAAAUGGCCCAACCGACUGUUUAUCAAAAACACAGCACUCUGCAAAGACGCAAGUCGAAGUAUAGGGUGUGACACGUGACCAAUGCCGAAAGAUUAAGGCAAGGGGUUAGCCGCAAGGCGAAGCUCUAAACCCAAGUCCCGGUGAAUGUCGGCCGUAACUAUAACGGUCCUAAGGUAGCGAAAUUCCUUGUCGGGUAAGUUCC